rnacentral:rRNA from 3 species
AGUGGAGCCUGCGGCUUAAUUUGACUCAACACGGGAAACCUCACCAGGCCCGGACACCGGAAGGAUUGACAGAUUGAGAGCUCUUUCUUGAUUCGGUGGGUGGUGGUGCAUGGCCGUUCUUAGUUGGUGGAGCGAUUUGUCUGGUUAAUUCCGAUAACGAACGAGACUCUAGCCUGCUAACUAGGCGUAUUUCGACAUCCCAAAGGCCCGCCGGUUCGGGGUUUCCACUCCGUUCCGCGCGCGGUUUUUACUGUCGGCGUACAAACAAUUCUUCUUAGAGGGACAGGCGGCUCUUAGCCGCACGAGAUUGAGCAAUAACAGGUCUGUGAUGCCCUUAGAUGUUCUGGGCCG